CAUGACAGGUGUAGAGAUACACCCUCCGCAAGGCAUGUACAGAGGUGCUGCAUGGUUGUCGUCAGCUCGUGUCGUGAGAUGUUGGGUUAAGUCCCGCAACGAGCGCAACCCUACCCUUUGUUGCUACCAGAUAAUGCUGGGCACUCUAAGGGAACUGCCGGUGAUAAACCGGAGGAAGGUGGGGAUGACGUCAAAUCAUCAGGCCCUUAUGUCCAGGGCUACACACGUGCUACAAUGGCCGGUACAAAGCGUUGCAAACCUGCGAAGGGGAGCCAAUCGCAAAAAACCGGUCUCAGUUCAGAUUGCAGUCUGCAACUCGACUGCAUGAAGCUGGAAUCGCUAGUAAUCGUGGAUCAGAACGCCACGGUGAAUACGUUCCCGGGCCUU
rnacentral:rRNA from 1 species